GGGUUGAUUCGGCUGAUCUGGCUGGUUAGGCGGGUGUCCCCUUCCUCCCUCACCGCUCCAUGUGCGUCCCUCCCGAAGCUGCGCGCUCGGUCGAAGAGGACCACCAUCCCCGCUAGAGGAGGACCGGUCUUCGGUCAAGGGUAUACGAGUAGCUGCGCUCCCCUGCUAGAACCUCCAAACAAGCUCUCGAGGCAUAUAUAUUUUUAAGCUUUCACAUAAGGGAGAGAGAAAUAAAGGUUAUAAAUGAGAUGGAACAGGGGUCAGGCUGUUCCAGGGAGAGGCAGACUCC
ensembl:misc_RNA 7SK 7SK RNA